rfam:Pteropus vampyrus cont1.216159, whole genome shotgun sequence.
AUAACAAAGGUGCCUUUGCCAAUAUUAUGUUUCGCUUUGACAAGCCCUGAGAUUUCUGAGGGGAAUCCAUUAUAAAUGGGAUCAGGUCAUUCACUUAUGUUGUGUGUAAAUAUAAAGAUACAACCUU